rnacentral:lncRNA from 1 species
AUUGGUUUCUCUUAACACUUGUAUUUGGCUCUGGAAAUGAAGUAUCUAUUUAAACUCAAAGAUAUGACAGAAAUGAACUAGAAAAAGCUGAUAUCACUGCAAAGAGGGUAAUAUUUAAUCCUAGAAUGUGUCAAAAGAAAUGACUGAGAAAGCCUGAGGCAGAGAACAGAGGCCAUCAAAGAGGUCAAAGGAUUUAGGGAAAAAUUAUGGGAACUGAGAAAUUAUUUUCCUGCUAAAACUUGCUUUUGUAAUUGUAGAUUCAUUUUUGUUUUUAGCUAGGGAAAAAGAAAAGAGAACGUGGUUUCCAAUUUCUGUUCUGCGGACACAGGGAGUGAG